GUUCAUAUUUCUUGUUUAAGUAGGUUAAAAAAACCCCUACAUUUUCAUUGUAAAAUUAAUUAAAUUUCUUAA
rnacentral:tRNA from 1 species